rnacentral:rRNA from 1 species
UACGGAGGAUCCGAGCGUUAUCCGGAUUUAUUGGGUUUAAAGGGUGCGCAGGCGGGAGAUUAAGUCGGCGGUGAAAUUUUGCAGCUCAACUGUAAAAGUGCCUUCGAAACUGGUUUCCUUGAGUGUAGAUGAAGUAGGCGGAAUUUGUGGUGUAGCGGUGAAAUGCAUAGAUAUCACGAGGAACUCCGAUUGCGCAGGCAGCUUACUAAACCAUCAUUGACGCUGAGGCACGAAAGCGUGGGGAUCAAACAGGAUUAGAUACCCU